CAGUAGAGUACAGUACAGUACAGUACAGUAGAGUAGAGUAGAGUACAGUAGAGUAGAGCUACAGUAGAGUAGAGUACAGUACAGUACAGUACAGUAGAGUACAGCUACAGU
rnacentral:miRNA from 10 species